rnacentral:ncRNA from 19 species
AAUCCGACCACCGUCACCGGCGUUCGGAUGAGAGGGAAUCCGGUGAGAAUCCGGAACUGUCCCGCAGCGGUAUGUCGGAACGACCGCCGUCACCACGCACUGGGCGAAAGCCCGGGAAGCGACGGCCACUAGGAAUCUCGCCUCAUGUGAGCCCGCCGACGAGUCCGAAGACCUGCCUCCUGUACCGGUCGCGCC